rfam:Gossypium hirsutum cultivar TM-1 chromosome 9, whole genome shotgun sequence
GGCACUUAAUAACAUAUCCAUUGUCUACGGGGAAAUUAUUACAACUAUACAAACCCCUUUAAAAUAGCUCACAACAAAGGCAUAACUUUGCCAUUGGGAGGGGAACAACAAUGCGAAAUGAUUGCUAAUACCCUAUAGACUGAGGAGCAAAAUGAGGAACCUUCUUGAGGAAGGGCUCGCAUCUGAUUAAUUAGUUGGUGAGGAAAUAGCAAAACAAGGCUAUGAUCAAUAGGUGGUUGAGAAGAUGAUUAGCCACACUGGGACUGAGACAUGACCCAAACUCCUUCGGAAAGCAGUAGUGGGGAAUUUCCAACAAUGGGAAAAAGCCUAACAGAGUAAUGUCACGUGGAGGUAAAAGGCCCAUGGGUCAUGAAAAUUUCCUAAAGAAGAAGCAAUGACGGUAUGUAGGGAAUAAGCAUUGACCAACUCUGUGCUAACAAUUGUGAUAAUAAAGAGGAUGCAAGUGUU